GGGUGUCGCUCUUGGAGCGGACGCGGCGGAUGGGUCUGCGGUCGAUGUCCUCCUCGGAAGAUGCCGCCAUUAAUGUGGGCACGGCCUGGUAGAAGAGACUGACACCCACCUUGCUACAACCUCCUUUCAAGCAGUUGUGGAGAGCAAUAAGGUGUCCUCAGGCCUCCAUUUCUUCAGGCUAAACAACCCGAACUCCCUCAAAAAGAAUGUGCAAAGGAAACAAAUUCUGCAAAAGAGAGCAUGCAACAUAAAGCACAGUUUUCCCCAGCACUUCAUCUUUACCAUGGUUGCAGAAGACAAAGCAAAGAAGAAAACAGCACUAUUUACUUGGAGAGAAGAAGGGACAUGUACUGAGUCCAGAAACACAGAAACACCUGUCCUAAAAUGCUAUAUGACAACUGCAGACCAAAGAACAGGCACCUCUUAUGACAUGAUGAGGUUUGACAUCCUUCAUAGCUGAGUUUCUGUGUGAAAAAGACUGUGCUUGGGCAGGGGAGUGAACAUGGGCAAAAAACACCAGAAUACAUCACCAGGACUUUUCUUCACUGCUCAAUAGCAAAAAGAAUGACAGCAUGUUAGAAAUUGAGAAGUUUCAUAAAUUCAAAGAUGCUGCUCCCAGCCUUUUGUUCAGCAGAGAGAGAAAAUAAAGCAACAUCUACAAAACUUCUGUGUUUAGAAGCAACGUAUUCUACACACAGAGUUUCCUGUUAGGCAAUAUACUGAAAAGCCUGGAGACAAAUAUCAAGACAAAAAUCUGCAAAAUGUGGCUGCCACCUUGGCCUGAUGGAAUUCAUUGCUGAAUUUUUGAGAUCUUCCUAUGGGUGAGCUCCUUCACCUGGCACCAGGAGGCCAGGCCAUGCAGAACAUGUGGAUGUGGCUUCCCAGUACGCAGAAUUCUUUGCCUCUGACGUGGCUGGAUUCUCUUUGCAACAAAGGCUAGAGAACUCUGAAGAUCAGGAUGAAAUUUUGUCUCGGCAAAGAGUAGAAAAUAAUAACUUGUGUCUUGUCAAGCCAUUCUCCUAUCUCCUUCGACAGCUCAGCCUUUGGUGGCUGAAGUGGGUCGGACAUGUGGCUGUGUCAUAAGCCUUUUGGAACAACCCAUCUGGAGGAAAGGAGCACAGACUUGGAAGGGUCCCCCUCUGAAAACAUCUGGGUGUUUUAACCUGCCUUCAGAUUUGCUUUGUCCACCUCUUCACUGAAUGCUUUAUACAGCCCGGAGGGCAUAGUGUGCUGUGUCCAAACUGCAUCUAACACUUUAACCACAACUAGCUGUUAAAAAAUAAAAAUAAGCUCAGAUUCCUAUGCUUGUUCACACUAGAUGUAUGCAUGCCAAGAUUUUUUAGAAGUGAGUAAUACUUUGAAGAAUGUUUGGUUUCAAGUUGUUUUAAUGUGUCUCUCUAACCCCCUUCCCAAACUUGGGGUAUCCCUUAGGUUUCUUAUAAGCUCAUGUCUGCCAUCACUUGGGGGUUAUUGUAGUCCAGUGGUGUCCAGAUCUGUGGCACCUUCUCCUCAACAUAUACAGACUGCUGGUGAGGCUCCUUAAAAGUGUCAGUGCCACAAAGUGCUAGAGUUGAGAUAAAGACAGAAGUGAAAGAAUCAGAUAAACUUUUCUGGACACGAAGAGCCAUACAGAAGGUCUUGGAGAGGGUGGGUGUGAGGAGAUACACAAAGAGUGCAGCAGAUGACAAGAUCUUUCUCUUCCGAGGAAUUUGACAAACUGGUAUGUGAAGUGCUGGUGCAUGGGACAGGUGCCUUCCUCUGCCUACCUCCUUCUCAGUGGUAGGAGCUAUUAGUGAUCUUGCAGUGAUGCCAGCAAGGCCCAGCUAGAGCCCUGCAAAAACACUGCUGUGCAAGCACUCUGGCCAAGUUUCUGCUCUGGACGGUGUUAAUUCAUGUCGAGAUUCAACAGGUAGACAAAAUGAGUGAAAGUGCUCAUAAGAGCAGUAGAAGGGGAUGUGAAAGAUGUCUAUCAAAGCAUUUUAUCCCUUAGUAUUUUUUCAAAUGUUAAUUGUGUGUCCCCUUCUCCUCUUGAGUUUUAUUUAUUUGAAGAUUGCAGGAUGCCUGAUUGGCACCUUACUACUUGGAGAGAGAGCAGAUGUUGCCUACUCAAGCAAAGUAUUUCACUUUUUCUGAGGCCAGGAGAUCUUACCCUGUGAGGCAGAAACAGCAAAUUGAACUGGACCAAGAGCAGACUACUUAGUUUAGGACACUAAACAUUUCAAGUAGUUUACCUCCAGCCAUGUCUUGGGAAGAGGGUAAAUUCUUUCUCAUGACCACAGUCAUGGGGAAGGAGGGGGUGAACCAGGGCAAGAGCAUGCUAAGACUUUUCAUCAGCUCCUGCAGGGGCUGGUUUUAUGCUCCCCUGACACUGUUCUGUGAGUCUAUACACCCACAGCCCAGACUCCUGCCAGCAAAACACCAACCCCUUGAAGGAUUUCAGCUGUGCCUCCCAUCUUCCUCUUCCAACACCUGCUGGAUGCUCCCUCCCUGCCUCUCAUGAGCAUAUCACAUCUUGACUGCAAAGUCCUCCAAGAUCUCUUCAUACCGAUAAAGUCAAACAUGAAUUUAAGGCACACUUUGCAGAAUCACAUUGUUUGCAGCCCUGAUGCAUGGACCUGCCUUGGCACAGGCCAACACUCAUGCAAUUUAAAGGAUCUGUGAAUUAGGAGAUCAGGGAAUUAGGAGAUCAGAACCUGAAUUAAUGGCUGCUUCCCAGAACUUUCCUACUUAGCUGGCAGGGGUGGUGAUUGCCCUGUAUCGCUGCUCUGUUCCUCUCUGUGUGGCUCAUGCCACUCCCCGCUCCAAGGGGCAGCUGGGCUGCUGUGGGAAGUGCCCAGAGCAAUGUCCCAGGCCCCUGACAGGCCCUCCUGACUUCCCCGCUGGCCCUUUUGUUGGUUUUGCAUGGCGGCAGGCGGCCGCGCGUGCUGCGUGACUUUCUACAUGCCGGGGGAUACUUGAGAUGACAUGAUGGACAUUCCUCCUUUGAACCCAGCCCAAGCCCAUGCCAGAAAGGCCCAUGAUAGAUUCCCCGUGCCAUCCUGCAAAACAGGCUGAAUUAUAGCACCUUUUAACCACAGCCCAGGGUAAACAAUACAGCCUGUACCACGGCUCAUAAACAGUCCUCAUUAUUACAAAGGGCAUUUCAAACGCGGUGUGCUACGGUUUGACCUUAAAAGCUAUAGACAAUCUAGCGGAGCACAGACGGUUUCAUAAAGUACAAUCACUUCCUGCAAUUCUUGGGGCAGUGCAGCCGGAGCCGUGCAAAUCCUGUUUUCCCUGCAUUGUUUCCUGCAUGUGAAUAUCAUCAGUCUAAUGGUGCUCGUAACCAUGGCACUCGUUAAACAGGAGCAGGGAGACUUGUGAUAAAGCCAUCCAGGACUCCAAGGAUUUGCAUGGGGCCAGCAACCUUGGCUGGACAAGGCAGAGUUGCCAGCAUUCACUUUAGAAGAUCAAACAAGCAAAAUAUGCAAAAGAGAAGCGCUUUAAGAACAGCUACUGGGUAAAACUGAAGUCAGAUCCAGAUUUAGGUCAGCCAGGCUGGUGGGAGCACAGCGAUCCCCUUCCUGCUCAGUGGGAGCACUGGCUGUCUUUGGAGAAAGCCUUUGCUCCUGCCUGAGGGUCCACAUGCCUGCAAGAACAUAGACAUACUCACAACAUCUGCAUGAGGCAAGAGCAGAUCUGUGGGAGGUGCAGAGGCCAGGGAGGAUCACACCUCUUUCCACCUUAAUACUUCUCCAUUUCCCUGCAUAUAGGAAAAAAAACCCAAAACAGAAGUAUGACUGUAGAAGAUGUAACUGAAGGUAGACCCUUGGCAGUAUAAUCAUUUUAUGCUCUGGAUAAGAUUAUUAAUGGCUUUCUGAUUUAUUUAAUAUCUCUGGAGGGGUUUCAUGUUUCCAGACAAUACCAAGACAGUACCUGCCUGGUGUAUUCAAGACUGCCAAACAUUUCAAACACUACAUUUUUACAGAGAAGUCCACGUAAGUGACUGCACACAAUUACACAUUUGCCAAACAAAAAGCUAAUGGGUUGCUCAGCAGGCAUCUGGCCAUCAUCAGAUGCCUCAGUGCUUUGCAGUCUUUGCCACAUUUGGGAGCUAAAGCAUCAGCAAUACCCUGCUUCAUACUUGAAGGUACCUGAUCAACAAGAUGUUGGAGGUGUAAUUGCCCCAUAAAAGGUUUAAUUUACGGACUCAUGUAUCCCAUAAUGAAACCAAUAGCGCCGAGCCUGACCUCGGUGUACAAGGCAGCACCCACAGAGACAGAACUAGGCAGAGGUUACUGCAAAUCCCAAGGCAAGUAAAGGCUUGAUGAUGGGGAAAUUUUAGAUGAGUAAUUAAUCAAAGAGGCUGGACACAGUUCAUUGUGUUCUUUAAAUACUAUAGAAAAAAGCCUGUUUCCUAGUAAGGAGGGUGCUUGUCUGGGGCAGUAGUGCAUACUUUAGUCCUGGUGCUACUGAGUAGGCAGGAAUUGAAUUCAAGAUUUAAAAUGCAAGGCAAAGGGAAUGAUGAUGGUCACAAAAUGAUUACAUUCUUGAAAACAGUAAAAACCACAAAAUUGACACCUGUGGAAAUGGUUAAGUCAGGUCUCACAGGAAGAAAUUCUGAGGGACAGUAUUCAAGCCUAAAUUUGGACAGCCACAAAGCAGUCUGAGUUGCAGAGGAGAAGAGCAGGUAUGGUUGAAGAGACUAGGACAGCACCAGGACAAAAGAUUAUCAAGGAAGUAAAUGUAGAAGUGGAAGCACAGACUUGUGCUGAUGAAUGAACAUAGAAGAAUAGCACAAGCAUGUAAAUACAAAAUGAACAGCAACUAGCAAGUGGUAUGAAAGCCUCCCUGAUACCCAGAAGCAACCAGACAACACAGGAAAACCCAUCACUUAUUGGAUAAAGGGGAGAAAUAAGGCUGAAAGAAAGAAGGUUGUUCAAAUCUUUGUUAAAAAUGUAAUUGUUAAAUUAAAUCAGCAGAUG